rnacentral:rRNA from 1 species
AUUGAACGCUGGCGGCAGGCCUAACACAUGCAAGUCGAGCGGAUGAAGGGAGCUUGCUCCUGGAUUCAGCGGCGGACGGGUGAGUAAUGCCUAGGAAUCUGCCUGGUAGUGGGGGAUAACGUCCGGAAACGGGCGCUAAUACCGCAUACGUCCUGAGGGAGAAAGUGGGGGAUCUUCGGACCUCACGCUAUCAGAUGAGCCUAGGUCGGAGUAGCUAGUUGGUGGGGUAAGGGCCUACCAAGGCGACGAUCCGUAACUGGUCUGAGAGGAUGAUCAGUCACACUGGAACUGAGACACGGUCCAGACUCCUACGGGAGGCAGCAGUGGGGAAUAUUGGACAAUGGGCGAAAGCCUGAUCCAGCCAUGCCGAGUGUGUGAAGAAGGUCUUCGGAUUGUAAAGCACUUUAAGUUGGGAGGAAGGGCAGUAAGUUAAUACCUUGCUGUUUUGACGUUACCAACAGAAUAAGCACCGGCUAACUUCGUG